UGGUCUGCGUUUGGAAAGAUUUUUCGGUUGGGGAGGGGCUCGCGGCCUAUCAGCUUGUUGGUGAGGUAAUGGCUCACCAAGGCGUCGACGGGUAGCCGGCCUGAGAGGGUGACCGGCCACACUGGGACUGAGACACGGCCCAGACUCCUACGGGAGGCAGCAGUGGGGAAUAUUGCACAAUGGGCGGAAGCCUGAUGCAGCAACGCCGCGUGAGGGAUGACGGCCUUCGGGUUGUAAACCUCUUUUAGCAGGGAAGAAGCGAAAGUGACGGUACCUGCAGAAAAAGCGCCGGCUAACUACGUGCCAGCAGCCGCGGUAAUACGUAGGGCGCAAGCGUUAUCCGGAAUUAUUGGGCGUAAAGAGCUCGUAGGCGGUUUGUCGCGUCUGCUGUGAAAUCCCGAGGCUCAACCUCGGGCCUGCAGUGGGUACGGGCAGACUAGAGUGCGGUAGGGGAGAUUGGAAUUCCUGGUGUAGCGGUGGAAUGCGCAGAUAUCAGGAGGAACACCGAUGGCGAAGGCAGAUCUCUGGGCCGUAACUGACGCUGAGGAGCGAAAGGGUGGGGAGCAAACAGGCUUAGAUACCCUGGUAGUCCACCCCGUAAACGUUGGGAACUAGUUGUGGGGUCCAUUCCACGGAUUCCGUGACGCAGCUAACGCAUUAAGUUCCCCGCCUGGGGAGUACGGCCGCAAGGCUAAAACUCAAAGGAAUUGACGGGGACCCGCACAAGCGGCGGAGCAUGCGGAUUAAUUCGAUGCAACGCGAAGAACCUUACCAAGGCUUGACAUAUACGAGAACGGGCCAGAAAUGGUCAACUCUUUGGACACUCGUAAACAGGUGGUGCAUGGUUGUCGUCAGCUCGUGUCGUGAGAUGUUGGGUUAAGUCCCGCAACGAGCGCAACCCUCGUUCUAUGUUGCCAGCACGUAAUGGUGGGAACUCAUGGGAUACUGCCGGGGUCAACUCGGAGGAAGGUGGGGAUGACGUCAAAUCAUCAUGCCCCUUAUGUCUUGGGCUUCACGCAUGCUACAAUGGCCGGUACAAAGGGCUGCAAUACCGUGAGGUGGAGCGAAUCCCAAAAAGCCGGUCCCAGUUCGGAUUGAGGUCUGCAACUCGACCUCAUGAAGUCGGAGUCGCUAGUAAUCGCAGAUCAGCAACGCUGCGGUGAAUACGUUCCCGGGUCUUGUACACACCGCCCGUCAAGUCAUGAAAGUCGGUAACACCUGAAGCCGGUGGCCUAACCCUUGUGGAGGGAGCCGUCGAAG
rnacentral:rRNA from 1 species